AAGCACCAUUAUCCAAGUUAUUUAUGCUGUGAUUACAAAAUUUUGAAUAAUUUUUAAUGUAAUGUAAAGUUUGGUUGGCUCAGCUCAGGUGAUUCCUUGCCAGGCCACACCUAUGGGAUAGGUCAGAUCUUGCUUUUAACAAACAUGCAGGAUGGCAGAUCAUGUGCUUCAAGAAGCAUCUCAUUCACAAAAGAGACUGAGAAGAGGAGCUGCAAGACAAUGCUGAAAAAAUUGAAGCUACUGAAAAAUGGGUGAGAAUGAUGAAAUUAGACAGGAGCUUUAUGAACAAAUGGAAUUUAUCACUAAACAAAAAGAAACAAUUGAGGCUUUGCAAGUAAUAAAUAGAAAGCUCACUGAAGAUUUACAAAAAUUGAAGGACACGUUUACAAAAAAUUUAGUAGAAAAAGAUGAGGCAAUAGCUGCAUGCUCUACAACAAGCUAUUGACGAUAAAAGCCAAGUUGUGUCUCAGUCACAAAAAGCACUUGAGCAACAGAUAAAAGAAGCUAAAGCUCAAUUAGAAGCUAAGCAAGAGAUGAUACAUCAACUAGUUGAGAAAUGGCAAGUCAAAGAA